rnacentral:sRNA from 1 species
UCCAUCUUACGUUUUUGCCCGGGGGGGG